GGGUCAGUAGGUUGGUCGUGCCACCGGUACGUACUGGUCUCACUAAUUCCUCCUUCCUGAAGAACCGUAAUGCCAUUAAUUUGGUGUUGCGGGGAAACAGGACUGUUACUUUGAAAAAAUUAGAGUGUUUAAAGCAAGCUAACGCUUGAAUACAUUAGCAUGGAAUAAUGAAAUAGGACGAUCGAUCCUAUUUUGUUGGUUUCUAGGAUUGACGUA
rnacentral:rRNA from 1 species